GACGAACGCUGGCGGCGUGCUUAACACAUGCAAGUCGAACGGUAAGGCCCUUCGGGGUACACGAGUGGCGAACGGGUGAGUAACACGUGGGUGAUCUGCCCUGCACUUCGGGAUAAGCCUGGGAAACUGGGUCUAAUACCGGAUAGGACCACUGCCUGCAUGGGUGGUGGUGGAAAGCUUUUGCGGUGUGGGAUGGGCCCGCGGCCUAUCAGCUUGUUGGUGGGGUGAUGGCCUACCAAGGCGACGACGGGUAGCCGGCCUGGGAGGGUGACCGGCCACACUGGGACUGAGAUACGGCCCAGACUCCUACGGGAGGCAGCAGUGGGGAAUAUUGCACAAUGGGCGCAAGCCUGAUGCAGCGACGCCGCGUGAGGGAUGACGGCCUUCGGGUUGUAAACCUCUUUCAGCACCGACGAAGCGCAAGUGACGGUAGGUGCAGAAGAAGCACCGGCCAACUACGUGCCAGCAGCCGCCGUAACAC
rnacentral:rRNA from 1 species